CGUGAGCUGGGUUUAGAACGUCGUGAGACAGUUCGGUCCCUAUCUUCCGUGGGUGUAGGAUACUUGAGAGGAGUUGCCCCUAGUACGAGAGGACCGGGGUGAACGAACCACUGGUGGACCAGUUGUCGUGCCAACGGCAGUGCUGGGUAGCUAUGUUCGGACAGGAUAACCGCUGAAGGCAUCUAAGCGGGAAGCCCCCCUCAAAACAAGGUAUCCCCGAGGGCCGUGGUAGACCACCACGUCGAUAGGCCAGAGAUGUAAGCGUGGUAACACGUUCAGUUGACUGGUACUAAUUGCUCGAUAGGCUUGAU
rnacentral:rRNA from 1 species